CCUACGGGAGGCAGCAGUGGGGAAUAUUGGUCAAUGGGCGCAAGCCUGACCCAGCAACGCCGCGUGAAGGAAGAAUGCUUUCGGGUUUUAAACUUCUUUUUAUAGGGAAGAGUAGUAGACGGUACCUGCCGAAUAAUCUACAGCUAACUACGUGCCAGCAGCCGCGGCCUUACGGAGGUCGCAGGCGUUGUCCGGAUUUACUGGGUGUAACGGGUUUGUAGGCGGGUGGGAAAGUCAGAUGUGAAAUCCUGCGGCUUAACCGGAGAAGUGCAGUUGACACUGUGGUUCCUGAGUAUUGGGGAGGCAGACGGAAUUCCUGGUGUAGCGGUGAAAUGCGUAGAUAUCAGGAAGAACACCAGUGGCGAAGGCAGUCUGCUGGACAGCAACUGACGGGGAGGCGCGAAAGCGUGGGGAGCAAACAGGAUUAGAUACCCGUGUAGUC
rnacentral:rRNA from 1 species